GGGGAUGUACUGGUUUCGACGGGGAUUGUGAGUGCAGGAAUAGCCAUCCGCAGCGGGAACUGCGAUAAAAGCCCACCAAAAAAUUAAUCGACAACGAUAAUUUAGUUUUAGCAGCCGCUUAAGGCCGCUCGUCAGUCUUAGGUCUUCUGUCGCUUAAGAGUCUGGCGCCGACAGACAGAGAACUUUUGCGCAUAAGCUUUGCUGCGUAAAAAGAACCUAUGAAGCUACCAAAACAUAGCGCUUGUUCGUUUGUGCUAUGCAGCGGGAAUUUCUAAAAACGAACUGUGAUGGGAGAAGUUUUUGUAAUCAGAUUUUCGGACAGGGGUUCGAUUCCCCUCAUCUCCAUAG
rnacentral:sRNA from 1 species